rnacentral:rRNA from 1 species
AUUGAACGCUGGCGGCACGCUUAACACAUGCAAGUCGAGCGGUAGCAUGAGUAGUAGCAAUACUACUUGAUGACGAGCGGCGGACGGGUGAGUAACACGUAGGAACUUGCCCAAUAGAGGGGGACAACUAAGGGAAACUUUAGCUAAUACCGCAUAUACUCGAGAGAGGAAAGCUGCCGCAAGGUGGCGCUAUUGGAGAGUCCUGCGUCUGAUUAGCUAGUUGGUGAGGUAAAGGCUCACCAAGGCGAUGAUCAGUAACUGGUCUGAGAGGACGACCAGUCACACUGGGCCUGAGACACGGCCCAGACUCCUACGGGAGGCAGCAGUGGGGAAUCUUGGACAAUGGGGGCAACCCUGAUCCAGCGAUGCCGCGUGAGUGAAGAAGGCCUUCUGGUCGUAAAGCUCUUUAGGUUGGGAGGAAGGUUGGUAUUUUAAGAGAUAACCAAUUUGACUGUACCGACAGAAUAAGCACCGGCAAACUCUGUGCCAGCAGCCGCGGUAA